UACGUAGGGGGCGAGCGUUGUCCGGAAUUAUUGGGCGUAAAGGGCGUGUAGGCGGUUCGUUAAGUCUGCUGUGAAAUCCUGGGGCUCAACCCUGGGCGUGCAGCGGAUACUGCCGGGCUAGAGGGUGGUAGAGGCGAGUGGAAUUCCUAGUGUAGCGGUGAAAUGCGCAGAUAUACGGAGGAACACCAGUAGCGAAGGCGGCUCGCUGGGCCGCACCUGACGCUGAGACUCGAAAGCGUGGGGAGCGAACAGG
rnacentral:rRNA from 1 species